GAGAAGCUAGGGGGGAGGGUACCCACCCAAUGCAUCCCAGCUAACCUUCUGCCCCCCAGGCCUGCCUUGUUCCAGGGCCGCUGUUCAACUGCCACUCCUGACCGUUGGGCCUCCUCUGUAUAUUCCGGGCCAAUGGAAGGCCUGGCAAUCCUCCCACACAGGCAGGGAGAGGGAGAGGGAGACUCUUCCCCCCUGGAUUUUGCACCAUAGGAACCUCGGAAGCUGUCAUCUACCGAGAAAGCAGAAUCAGUCUGCCCCAUCAUCUUGUUUGGACAAUUCAAGGGGCGUCGAUUCUAAGCGCAGCCAGCUGACUAACACCCUCCAGACUGUUGUGACUGCAAUGAAGGCGGAUACCUUAAAAAAGUCGGCGGCCCAAGGACCCGUCUAGAUGGCAACGAGGAAGAACCGUGGCAAGAGCAGCCUUAAGUGCCUGCUUGGGAUCUGGCAGCGAACUUGGCAACUGUCGGAAGGCUGGCUGAGCAUCACAGUUAAGAGGCGAGAGAGAGAGAGAGAGAGAGAGUCAGGAUUUCCCCAUUCACGCCGCUGCCACAAACUAAGUCUGCAGACCUGGGUCAGCUGCUAGUUCUCAACCUCAGCUUCAACAGCUGCUGGAACACAAUUAAUUUAGUUACCUUUGUUAUCAGCACUUCCUCCCCCACCCUGUGUCUUUCCUGAACUUCUUGUGCACAGUUUCUGGUUGUACAAACAAUUCUGAAAGUGGCCAGAUUUAGAUACGCACGAGUCCCACAACACAAAAGAAAGCCGCUGACGCCCUCCCUCAGUAGGAUCACUCCUUGGAUAAUCCCUCAUCAGCUCUUGCCUGUGGGCUUCCCCAGCCGUCUGGUCACAUGGCUAGUACCCACGCCAUCCAAUGCCUCCCCCUUUUCACACAGCAAUGAGUUUACCUUUUUGUCCAGCUUACACCUAAGCUUCAUGGCAGCUUUUGAUGAAGUGGGAAAGGAAGGUUAAUAGAUUUCAGGUUUUCUAAACUGUUUUCCACCUAAAGUAAGAGUCUUCCCCCAGGUCAUUUCCCCCAUGGAAUGAGAAUAUCUGCAUUUCGGGGAUCCAUCAGUACCUUUUGAAAUCAGCAGCUGUUACACCAAUCGGCACCUUCAUCUCAAACCUAUUUGCAUGCCUAGCAACCAAGGGUCAAAGAUGGCCAUGCAUUACAUGCCUGGAAGCAAAGGGUCAGGACAAACAGCCAGCACCUGCCCACCCACUCAGACUAUGGCCCCACUUUAUGGUCACAUUUUGGUAGACAUUCCCACAACUUGAAUAGUUUGCUAGACACACGAUAUGUUCCACUUCUGUCUAACUUUGAAGGAUUAUACUGGUAGUAGUAGGAUGCUGGUCAAUUGUGUCAAAACAACAAAUCUCCAGUGCACCAUUCACCUUUAUAGAACCUUUACCUAACAUUACCUAACACUCAUUAAAAAAACUCU